GACCUGUUGGUGUAUCGGUAUGCACGGUAGAUACUCCCGAAGCAUGGAUUUCGAGGAGUUCUACUAGUAUGGGUUCGACUCCCAUACAGGUAA